UGUGGUGCGGGCAGGAGCGGCCCGAGCUUGGCCCCGCUCUGCUGCUGUCCGCCUCCCGCCGGGCGCGGCAGGGCCCGAUGGCGGGCGGGCUGGGGCCGCGGCUGCUGGCCUUGGCCUUGGCCUUGGCCUUGGGGCCGGCAGGCAUUUGGGCUGAAUUGAAGCUGGUGGAGUCUGGUGGAGGUCUGCGAGCACCUGGAGACUCCGUGCAUCUCUCCUGCCAGGGAUCUGGAUUCACCUUUGAAAAUUAUCCUGUCUUGUGGUACCGUCAGGCACCCGGUGGAAGUCUUGAGUGGGUGUCCUUCAUUAACUUUUAUGGUAGCACUGUAGAAUAUGGCAAAGCAGUGAAGGGCCGAGCCAGUGUCUCCCGGGACGAUUCCCAAUCCAAGUCUUCUCUGUCCCUGAGCUCCCUGGUACCCCAGGACUCAGCCCACUACUUCUGUGCAGUUCGCACAGGGACAGGAAAUCCAGCUGAGCUUUAACACAAACCUAGUGCCAGGGCCCCUCACCUUUCCUACAUAUAUUGCUGCCACAGAGGCUACGUAUAUUGCAGCCUCUGGCUGCUGUAGGUGCUGGAGGAGCCUCUGACUCCUUCCCACCCUGCUCUCUGCUGUAUGCUCACCUCCUCAUCCACCAAGGAGUCUGCAGGGCAGUGGGAAGCAGGAUGGACACUAAGUGCAUGUUAUUUUUAUUCUAUCCAUAUCAGGAUUUGGUAGGUGAGCUUGAUGGUUGGACUUGAUGAUCUUACAGGUCUUUUCUAGCCUUAAUGAUUCUAUGGUUUUGUGAUUUCUGUGCACGUCACCAGCUGGGGAUGCAGGCUGUUUGUGAAUGACUAUAGCAUCUCAUGACAGCAGCAUACACACAGGUCCACAUUCCUCUUGGUCUCUGUCUAGAGCAAAAAUUCCUUUUCCUAGACCUUAUGGAAGGCUGCCAUGUGUGGGUGUGCAGCCCACCAUCUCCUGGGAGAGUUUCUAGGUGUUGAAAUGUAUUGUCCUGCAUGCCCUGCAUGCCUGGGACUGCACUCGCUGCUUUUGUGCUGCCUCUGUGGGGAUAGAAAGCUGAAGUGUUCCCUGACAUGAACCUCCUACUGGGGCUUCUCACCCUCUCCAUGCUCACUUGCGUGCCCCAGCAAAGGGGCCAGCCAGGACGUGGGCUGGGACAGAUUGCAGCUUUGGCCUCUGCUGCCAGAGCUUGAUGCACCAGUAGAGGGGUGUCCAGGGAUUCUCUUAGGUAGCGGGACUACUCAAGAAAUCUGUCAUUACAAGUGAGCCAGAAUGCUGGUUUUGUCUAGGAUAGAGUUAAUUUUCCUCCAAGUGUCUGGUAGGGUGCUGUGUCUUGUACUUAGGGUGAAAAUAAUGUUGAUAACACAUUGAUGUUAUAAUUGUUGCAGAGCAGUCCUUACAA